AGGGCAGAAUAAAAAGCUUGUCUGACUUUCUGAAGUCCUUUGAUCUCAGUAAGUAGACCUUUAGGCAUCUCAUCACAUCCAGUUUGCUCCAUUCUACUUCUUCUUCGUUAGUCGGAUUCGGAAAGAAUGAAGGUAGAACAAUUUCUUGUUGAAUGUGGAAUCUGGAAACUACUUUCGGAAGGAAGUCAAGUUUAGUAACCAGCACCACCCUAUUCUGAUGGAAC